UAGGGAAUCUUCCACAAUGGGCGCAAGCCUGAUGGAGCAACACCGCGUGAGUGAAGAAGGGUUUCGGCUCGUAAAGCUCUGUUGUUAAAGAAGAACACGUAUGAGAGUAACUGUUCAUACGUUGACGGUAUUAACCAGAAGUCACGGCUAACUACGUGCCAG
rnacentral:rRNA from 1 species